rnacentral:lncRNA from 1 species
GGACAGCAGUGCCCCUGGCUUCUGGAGCUGUCACAGGACGGACGGGCUUCCCAAAGUGUCCUCUCUAGGAUGGACCUCUGCUCCAGGGACCCUCCCUGGUGCCCCAGUCCCACAGAGGGUCUAACAUCCUCUGUCAGAAAUGCCCACGGCUCCUGGCUCCACAGAGCACCCGAAGCCCGCAUGCUGAGCUGUGGGCGUGCUCCUGCCGAGGGGCAGCAGGUGGGCUGUGGGUGUGCUCCUGCCGAGGGGCACCGCUGUGUCUCUGUUACUCACUCAGAGGAUUUUGAGGUGCCCUCGCUGUGAGCCACCUGGACAGAGGACCCAGACCCGCGUUGGUGAACUUGAGCCUCCAUGAAUGUCUGGCUGGCUUAUCUCACAGGACUCAUGGAGCACAUUUUCCCAGGGCCUGGGGAAGAAGAUGGUCAGCAGGCGUAGAAGGAAGAGACCACACUGAUGACACAGGAGCCUUUGAGAGUAGCCCAGAGGGAGGGUGAGACCGGCCGGAGCUGGACUGGGCUGGAGUGGGGCAUCAGGUGAGGCCAGCAGGAGAGCUGGGGCCAGGGAGGGACACCUGUCAGGAGGUCACUGCCGUGGCCCUGUGUGAGGGUGGAGGCAGCGUUGUCCUGGUGACAGCUCCACAUGCCCUGGUCAGGGUCAGGCUCUCCCUGGCCUGUGGCCUUGGCUUCCUGUCCUCUUACCUGUAGACUGACUUCCUUGCUAGCAGUUUGUUGGAUUCCGCGGUUCUGAUCAGGUUAGCCAUUUGCACCUCUCGCCUGGAGUGUGAAGGUCAUUUGUUCUUGGUGUGACCUUCGGUGCGGUCAGCUCUGGUCUUCCACGUUGCCAGGGUCCUCUGUUGGCUCCGUCGCCAUUCCUUUCUCACCCUCCUUUGGAUUAUUAAACUGUUUUCCUGGUAUUUUGUUUGACCCCUUCUGUUGAUUCCCAGUGAUUUCUUUCUGUGCUUCUGUUACAGCUGUAGAAUCACAGCAUGCGUCGUGGCCUAGCGGCGUCCCGGAGGAGCUUGCCCUCGACCACAAGGCCCAAGACUGAGAAUCUGGACUCCUCUGCAGUUUUACUUCAAAGACAUACAAGCCUGCUCUUCGUUGCUCUUAAUUUACCAGUGCUUGCCUUGAAGUCAUCAAAAGGAAAGAGGACUGCCCACCCACCCACCCCCUGGGCCCCUCCUGGAGGGUUCCUGCAGCUCCGCCUCCUCUGGAUAAGAGCCCCGAUGGCCUUCUGGCCCACGAGUGCGUUGGCUGCACACUCUCCCCACUCCCACUCUUUGGGAAAUGCCUUUGUCCCCCUUCGUUGGGUCCAUUUGUCUUGGGGUGGCAGGAUUUAUUCUCAGCUCUGGACACAUCGUUCCUUGUCCUCUGACAGCUUUGUUCCGCAUGAGAAAUCCAUGCUGCUCCUUCUCGGGGCUCUCCUGUGCAUGAUGGAUAUUUUUCUCCUGAUGGUUUUUAGAUUUUUCUUUAUCUAUGGUUUUCAUGAAUUCAACUAUGAUGUGCCUAGAUGUAAUUUUAUUUGAAUUUAUUAUAUUUGGCAUUUAUUAAGUUUCUUGAAUUUGUGGGUUUUUUCCCCAUCAAAUUUGAUAAAUUCCCAGUGACUGUAUCUUAUCUUGUUCUCCACCCCGUGAUUCUUUUCUCCUUCGGGAAAUUUAUUUCUGCAUGUCAUAGAUGACUUGAAAUUCCCCCAAUGUUGCUGACUCUAUGUUUGCUUAUGUUCCAGCAAUGUUUUGGAUUUUUUUUUUUUUAUUUUAGAAAACUUUUACAUUUGUGGAAUUACUGCAAAAGGACCACGUCCCUCCAGCUGCACGCGGGUUGUCCUACAUCAGUUUGGUCACGGGGCACAGUUGCCAACAGGUCUCCACACAUUGUUACUAGUCUCUCGACACAUUGUUACUAGUCUCCCCACACACGCCAUCCCGUCUACCCCAGGAGCCCAUCUGGAAUGCGGUCGUGCAUCCAGCUGUCCUGUCCCUAUGGUCUCCUCUUGAUGGUGACGCUUGCAGAUCCACCUUGUUCAUGGCGACCUUCGACUGGUCAGGUAUCCUGGGAGCUCCCUGCAGUGGUCAGGCCGGGUAGUAUGUCUAGAGGAAGACAGCGAGGACGAGGUCCCUGGUGUCCCUGCUGUCCUGACUCCUCACUGCCCAUGCUGUCUUGGUCCAGAGUGAGGGGGGUCGGUCAGUUUCUGCAGGUGGCUACUGUUUCUUUCCCUCCACUUGCAAACUGCUGUCCUUUGGGGAGUCACUUAGGCACAGCCCACACUUGAGGAGCCAGGGACACCCCACAGAGGGUCUUCCACACAGGACACAGUUGCUCUCUCCAAUUGAUUUGCUUAUUCACUUCAUCAUGUAUUAUUGUCUGGGUGGCUCCUGGGUAUGCAUUUCAUACUCUGGUUAUACGGGGUGGUAUUGAUUUUCCUGCUCCAAUCACCCUAGCUUUGGUGACGGGGAGUUCUCCCGACUGAUCCCUAAUCCCUCUGCCCAUCCCCAUCGUGGGGUUGGUUGGAACACGUCCUCUCUGGGGCUCUUCCUGUGUGUUUCCUGCCCCUUGUUCACACACACGUCUGUUCUGCUGCCGUCUGUGGCCCUCGGUGUCUGCGCCUCAUAGCCCACCAAGGCUGUCCUGUGCGCUUCACUCUGUGUGCAGCAGGUUUUCUCUCUUCUGAAGCUUCGAUCCCUUCUGCCGAUUCUCUUCUGUGGGUCUCUCUGCAGGGAAGCCAUCGUGGGCUUGAGCUUCCAGACACCGUGUCCUGGGUUCGCAGUGUCUGCUCAGUCACUCCUACUGCCACCCACUGCGCCUCCUGUUCUGCGAGUUCCUCGCCGUACCUGCUCCCUGCAUCUCUUGACCUACCUGCGGCUUCCUGGUGUCUUGGGGUCUCCCCCAUGUGGUCUGGGCACCGUCCUGAAGGAAGGGAGAUGGAGGUCUGGCUCUCCUUUCCGCUCCUCCCCAGGUGGCGGCAGGCGGUCAUUCCUGCUUGCUAGAGUGGUCUGAGCUGGCCGGGGAUGGCGGCUCCAACCAGGUGGAGCUCACUGUGGUCAUCACUGAGGUCAGCCCAGUGGACAGAUACUUUUCUGAUCUGGGAGGGAGGUGGGCUGAAGCUUCAGAUAUUUCUAACUCAACAUUAAAUUCAAUCCUAGAAGAACCAUGGAAUCCGAGCCCAACAAGAAAGAGCAACAUCAAAAUCUCCCUGACCAGCCUGUGUCUAGCAAUGUUUUGGGGGGCAAUCUUGAGGGGACAGUGAUUGGAGGAAUCCCUGGGCCGAUGCUCAGGCUUUGCCUCCGAGGUAUUGCAGAUGACUCCAGGUGGCACAUGUCUCCCCGGGCCCUCCCCGUCCCCGGCCAUGACCCUGCAGGUCUGCGAAGCUUCUGCACCUAAGCACUUGUCCAGCUGUGGCGCCCGCCGCGGGUCUGCCGUCCACCGUGAGGCUCUUCAGUUGCUGAAUUCAGUCCAUCGAGCUUCCUUGCCUCUGCCACUCUUUGUCAGCUCCUGUCUUAAUUUUGUCUGAUUUUAAAUUUCUAUUGCUAAUUAGUGAAAGGCAUUAAGGGUGAUUUUUGCCUCUGAUUUUAAAACUACUUUGCACUAGGGGGUAUGCAUCCUGGUGUCCAGAGUCACCAACUGAUCAAGGUGGUGGUCAAGGGGACACUGAAGAGGGAGGUCCUCCCACUCUUUCCCACAUGGUGAUGCUCUUCUCAAAUACGACUGAGCCAAACAGAAAAUCCCAGGUAACAAUAAAUGAAUGACUCUACAAAAUUAGUUCUUUUUUAGCACACUCAGUUUUGAAUAUAAGUUAUGAAUGGCACAGUGACCUUCAUAGGAAGUAGAGAGUAGGGAAACAGAAACCCGCUGCUUGGCUUCCACUGUCAGGAUCCUAGGAUGGUUGUGCUCAGUGUCCUUUAUUUUUUUAAAUUUUAUUCUAAUCAACAGAUACUAUUUGUACCUACUUCCGGGGUGCAAUGUUGUAAUUCAAACCCGUGCACAGCCUAGAAACCCCAGGCAGGGCCAUCGGCACAUCCAUGUCCUCAAGUACCAUGUCCAUGUGCGUAAGGACUUGCAUAGAUGUCAUUACCCUCCUGCACUCUGGGACGUCAGAGUUACUUCGUGUCUAGCUGGACUUUGGUCCUCAUUACCCCCUAUUCUUCCCACCCUCCCAGGCCUCUGGUGAUCUCCAUUUUACUUUCUUCUUCAAUGUAAUCAACAUAUUUUUUAGCAUCCACUAUUUAACAAGAAUCUUACAAACUGAAUGUAAUUUGAGUACUUAAAAUACGCAAGUUUAUUUAGAUACAUCACUGCAUCAUGAAUUUGUUUCUGAACUCUUCAAGUUCCAUUUUUGUGAGAUGGAUGUCAGUAGAAUACCAAAACCAGUGUCUAAAAGUCCUUUGGAGCUUUCUAAAAUUGAUUAGUAACAUGGGGAAAGCAGUGUUGGUGGAGGGUGGCACUUGGCCUCUCAGUCUCUCCUUGAUUUAGCUAAGAACUGAGACGGUGGAAUUGAAGGGUCCCCAGACUACGUGGAUCUGCAGGUGGGCAGGCAUUUUCAAAGGAAAAACAGAUGGAAAGUAUUCUUCAUAUGUAUUUAUUUCAUGAAGGUGAAAUGUCUGUUUGUGGACUAUGUUUUCACAGGAGUCUAAGUAUUUUUGUGACAAUCACCUUGAGCUUACAGGUUAGGGGGUGCUGCAGGGGGUCGCAUGAGCUCAUGGUGGUGAGGGCCCCCUCCAGGGUUCGUGCCUUGAGCACAGAGUCUCUAUGUGGUGUGCUGUUCGUGUUUCCCUUGCUACACACUUGAGGAAGCAUGCGUCCAGGCCACAGUGGGGGACCAGGGUGCGGAAGUGGCUCACUGGCCAGAUCUGCCCACAGACGCCUUCCUGGUAAGCAGACAGGAACUGAGCUGGUGUUCCUUCCUGACAACGAGAUGCCCAGUCCAGUGUGUGUGCCUGACCUGGUGCUGAGGCCCACGCCUGUGCAGUGGGCUCACAGCCUCUGCAGGGCCUGUGUGGACGCUGCUCUGUGGGUUGGCGAGGAGGACCAGAGAGGCCGGUCGUGGGAAGGCCAGCCAGAGCAGCACUUCCGAGGCCCGGGCCCUGUCUGGGCACGCGGGACUUCACACACUCUUUGGGAAGGACCGCGUGCUGUAUUUUCAGACUUAGCUGCAGCUGCCGUGAUCUCAGGCUGCUGUCCUCACCCUGGUGUCUGAUCACACAUUCAGAAUACCCGGCAGAGGCACAUCUGCUGCCCCAUGUCAGUAAAAGUGACAAGAAAUUGUUUUUGCUUAUUUAAAAACUAUUCAAUCACUUCUUAUAUUUAGGUUGUAAUAGAUCUUUUUAUAAAAAUCCAGAAUUGAUGAGCCAUGCCUGCUGGGUGGUCUGCUGGGGUGAGGGCUUUGGGGAGCGCUGGCCUAGGUACACAUACUUACUAGCAGUGGAGGUCCUCACAGAAGCCAACGGCGGCCUGGACCAGGAGGCGUCAGGAGCAGGUCACACCCUCACUCAUGGCCCUGCUGUGAAUGCUGGGAGAGGACGGUGCCCAGGGCCGUGGAGAAAGAGAGAACAGGUCGCCUCGGGGCCCGUCACACAGCAGGAGGGCGAAAGAGGAGCCACCUUGGAGUGCAGCACAGCCUGGUGCUGUACUACCCAGACUGUUAGAAUCUUCC